rnacentral:tRNA from 1 species
AAGGCUUUAGCUUAAUUAAAGUGCCUGUUUUGCAUGCAGGUGAUGUGGGUUAGUACCUCGCAAGUCUUA